rnacentral:rRNA from 1 species
GUGCCAGCCGCCGCGGUAAUACAGAGGUCCCAAGCGUUGUUCGGAUUCACUGGGCGUAAAGGGUGCGUAGGCGGUUUGAUAAGUCUGAUGUGAAAUCCCGCAGCUUAACUGCGGAACUGCAUUGGAAACUAUUUGACUAGAGGAAUGGAGGGGAGACUGGAAUACUUGGUGUAGCAGUGAAAUGCGUAGAUAUCAAGUGGAACACCAGUGGCGAAGGCGAGUCUCUGGACAUUUCCUGACGCUGAGGCACGAAAGCCAGGGGAGCAAACGGGAUUAGAUACCCGCGUAGUCC